rnacentral:lncRNA from 1 species
UAAGCAGCGAAAUAUUGUUCAGAAGCAAUGGGAAUAUUACCAGAGAACUCACCAACAUCACAUUUGGUUUCAGAACACAGGAUACAAAUGCGGUGAUACUGCAUGCAGAAAAAGAACCAGAGUUUCUCAAUAUUAGCAUUCAAGACUCCAGACUACUCUUUCAACUGCGAAGUGGCAACAGCUUUUAUACGCUGCAUCUGACGGGUUCCCAAUUGGUGAAUGACGGCGCAUGGCACCGAGUGACUUUUUCCAUGAUAGACCCACGGGCCCAGACCUCCCUGUGGCAGAUGGAGGUGGACGACCAGACACCCUUUGUGAUAAGUGCAGUUGCUACUGGAAACCUGAACUUUCUGAAGGACAAUACUGACAUCUAUGUGGGUGA